rnacentral:rRNA from 1 species
AGCUGAUCACUGGGCGUAAAGCGUGCGCAGGCGGUUUUGUAAGACAGAGGUGAAAUCCCCGGGCUCAACCUGGGAACUGCCUUUGUGACUGCAAGGCUGGAGUGCGGCAGAGGGGGAUGGAAUUCCGCGUGUAGCAGUGAAAUGCGUAGAUAUGCGGAGGAACACCGAUGGCGAAGGCAAUUCCCUGGGCCUGCACUGACGCUCAUGCACGAAAGCGUGGGGAGCAAACA